rfam:Canis lupus familiaris chromosome 22, whole genome shotgun sequence.
UGGAGCAACAGCCCUAGUGGCGGGGCCAGCUCUGCAGCCCUGGAUUCAGCCCCCGCAGGAACUCCGGAGCUCUCCGUCUGCAGGGCCUGGAGGCUCUGGGCGGGG